GAGACAAUAAGAACCAAGGCAGACGACUCCCCCCAGACAUUAAGCUGAUAAUCCUUGUUUUUCAGAACCACGGUGGAAUUGACCAUCUUCUUCAAGUUCUUCUCUGCUGCUUCGUGAGGAUUAGGCGACACCACAACCAAGAAUGACGAGCAAGUCAAUCGAGGACAUCAGCGAUCUGUUUAGAGAAGUGGACGGCCUCUAUAUCAGCAAAUUCUUCAACGUAGACAUCCUGAGGUGUGCUCUCUCCUGCAAGCCCAGACCCGAAGAAAUAUUCAUCGUAACCUACCCAAAAUGCGGCACAGCUUGGACUCAGUACAUUGUGCACUCCAUCUUGAACGACGGUGUGCCACCCAAGGACUUCAUUGACUUUGCGCUAAGGUCACCUUUCCUUGAGUUCUUUGGCGCCGAGGCAGCAGAGAAAAUGAUCCGGCCCGGCGCCAUCAAAACUCACUUACUCUGAGAAUGCCAAGUACAUAUACGUCGCUCGGAAUCCCUACGACUGCUGCGUUUCUUUCUUCCAUCAUAUCAAGAGCGCGCCUUCGUAUGGACUUGGAGACUCGUCAUUUGACCAGUUCUUCGAGAUGUUUGUUAAUGGGAAAGUCAGCUUCGGACAUUGGAGUAGAACGCACACCCUCGCUCCUCCCCCCCCCCCCCCCCCCCCGGCUCCACCCCGCAAUUCGAUCUGUUUCCACAAACCUCAAGGAUACGAAGUAUCUGUCGACGACCACGCGCUCCGCAGUUAGCAUUUUAUUUGAACCCAAUGUACACACCCUGUAUAAUAGAAAGUUUGUAAAAAUGUUGUUAGUGCACGCAACACCCUCAGGAUAUCAUUUACCUCGAAAACAAAAAGGAUUCUAUUAUACAUUGUGUUUGUUUUCACUUGUACUUGUUUUUACUCGUUUUGUACUUAAUUUUACUUUACUUACAUGGGUUCUGCCUUCACUGUGUUUUUAACUUUUUUGUUUUAUUUUAACUGUGUUUUUUUUUUUCGGUUCCGCAGAGCCUCUUGUAUGGUUAAGUGUCAAUUUGAUAAUUUCAUUGCAGGUGCCCCACCAAAAAAAAAAAAAAAAGUAUAUUGUCUUCAAAUUGGAUUUCGGGUUUCCAGCAAGAAAUCCAGUUAAACUUCCUAUUCCAUAAUCCAGUUAGCAAAUAAUUAUACUUUUUUUUUU